rnacentral:rRNA from 1 species
AACGAACGCUGGCGGCAUGCCUAACACAUGCAAGUCGAACGAGACCUUCGGGUCUAGUGGCGCACGGGUGCGUAACGCGUGGGAACCUGCCCUUAGGUUCGGAAUAACUCCCCGAAAGGGGUGCUAAUACCGGAUAAUGUCUUCGGACCAAAGAUUUAUCGCCUUUGGAUGGGCCCGCGUUGGAUUAGUCAGUUGGUAGGGUAAAAGCCGACCAAGGCGACGAUCCAUAGCUGGUCGGAGAGGAUGAUCAGCCACACUGGGAAUGAGACACGGCCCAGACUCCUACGGAAGGGAGCAGUGGGGAAUAUUGGACGAUGGGCGAAAGCCUGAUCCAGCAAUGCCGCGUGAGUGAUGAAGGCCUUAGGGUUGUAAAGCUCUUUUACCCGGGAUGAUAAUGACAGUACCGGGAGAAUAAGCUCCGGCUAACUCCGUG